UGGGCGGCCACGUGUUACUCAUCC
rnacentral:siRNA from 1 species